rnacentral:rRNA from 1 species
UGGGAACCUUCCCUAUGGUUCGGAAUAGCUCAGGGAAACUUGGGGUAAUACCGGAUAAGCCCUUCGGGGAAAGAUUUAUGCCAUUGGAUGGGCCCGCGUCGGAUUAGCUAGUUGGUGGGGUAACGGCCUACCAAGGCGACGAUCCGUAGCUGGUCUGAGAGGAUGAUCAGCCACACUGGGACUGAGAUACGGCCCAGACUCCUACGGGAGGCAG